rnacentral:rRNA from 1 species
UGUCUUUUUGAAAUUAAUAUAAAGUUUGAUCUGCCCACUGAUUAAUAAUUGAAGGGCUGCAGUAUAUUGACUGUACAAAGGUAGCAUAAUCAUUAGUCAUUUAAUUGAUGACUUGUAUGAAGGAUUGGAUGAAAUAUAAUCUGUCUCUUAAUUAAUAAUAGAAUUUAAUUUUUUAAUUAAAAAGUUAAGAUGUUUUAAAAAGACGAGAAGACCCUAUAGAGUUUAAUAAAUAAAUUAUUUGAUAUUAUUUAUAAAUAUAAAAUUGAAAUUAAUUUAUUUAUUUUGUUGGGGUGAUAAAAAAAUAUAAAAAACUUUUUUUUUUAGUUAACAUUUAUAAGUGAUUAAAUGAUCCAAUAUUAUUGAUUAUAAGAAUAAAUUACCUUAGGGAUAACAGCGUAAUUUUUUUUUUUAGUUCAUAUAAGAAAAAGAGUUUGCGACCUCGAUGUUGGAUUAAGAUAAAAUUUAAAUGCAGAAG